rnacentral:rRNA from 1 species
AGUGAACGCUGGCGGUAGGCCUAACACAUGCAAGUCGAACGGCAGCACAGUAAGAGCUUGCUCUUACGGGUGGCGAGUGGCGGACGGGUGAGGAAUACAUCGGAAUCUACUUUUUAGUGGGGGAUAACGUAGGGAAACUUACGCUAAUACCGCAUACGACCUACGGGUGAAAGCAGGGGAUUUUCGGACCUUGCGCGAUUGAAUGAGCCGAUGUCGGAUUAGCUAGUUGGCGGGGUAAAGGCCCACCAAGGCGACGAUCCGUAGCUGGUCUGAGAGGAUGAUCAGCCACACUGGAACUGAGACACGGUCCAGACUCCUACGGGAGGCAGCAGUGGGGAAUAUUGGACAAUGGGCGCAAGCCUGAUCCAGCCAUACCGCGUGGGUGAAGAAGGCCUUCGGGUUGUAAAGCCCUUUUGUUGGGAAAGAAAAGCAGCAGGUUAAUACCCCGCUGUUCUGACGGUACCCAAAGAAUAAGCACCGGCUAACUUCGUG